rnacentral:lncRNA from 1 species
GAUGGAGUUGGUUGAGAGAAUGGAUCCUUCUUCGUGGAAAUAGAAAAUGGUUGUGGACAAUGGAUUUGAUUCCGUUUUUGUGAAUUGAUUUUUGUUGUGGUGGACUGUUGUUUUGUCUGCGUUCAUCUAUUCACUGAUUGCUUUUGUGCAAGGUGAUCUUUGUCGCAGAUUGGUUGAUCUUGUUGCUUUGCAAUUAGUUCAUCUUGCUGUCGGAAAUAAGUUGGCU